GGAAAGAGGAAGUGAGAGCGUGUGGGCUGGCGGCCCUUCCCUGGCCAGCUGUAGGAAAUGCACACUGAUCGAAAUCAUGACUGAGGACGGGGAGAAGCCAUACCGCUAAUGUGGUUGAUUUCGUGCAAAUUGGUCCAUUUAACACCAAUCUGCAUGGGAUUUUCCCCUCUAUUAAAGUCACUUGAAGAUCAGAGGUGCGUCUGCACGGGAGCUCCCAGCCGGACCACCUGAGGAGGGGACAGAGGUGACUUUGUUUCAACGGUGGUGUAUGGAGCACCGGCUAGUCCUCCCAA